CUCUCAGCGGGUAAGGCAGGUAACAAGGGCCUGCUGGUGACCCUCUAAAACAGGGAUGCACAACCUUUUCUGGUCGGGGACCACAUUGUAAGACUGAAGGAAUCCCAAGGGCCGAAAAAUAAAAGUUAAAGGGGUAUUACCAACUGAUAUACUGUAUUUAUUGCAUAUUGUACAUACAGUAUAUACUAUAAAUGUCUGGUUACACAUCCAGGAUUCACAUCUAAUGGGAGAAUACAUGAAAAAUGCAUGUGAGCAGCCACAAAACAUAGUCAUACAUGUCUGUCAACAGAUGGUUGGGGGCCGCACAGAAUGAUAU